rnacentral:rRNA from 1 species
UACGGGGGGAGCAAGCGUUUGUUCGGAUUUACUGGGCGUAAAGGGCGCGUAGGCGGUUCCUUAAGCGGGCGGUGAAAGCCUGGGGCUCAACCCCGGGUCGGCCGUGCGAACUGGGGGACUCGAGCACUGUAGAGGCAGGCGGAAUUCCGGGUGUAGCGGUGGAAUGCGUAGAUAUCGGGAGGAAUACCAGUGGCGAAGGCGGCUGCCUGGCCUGUUCUUGACGCUGAGGCGCGAAAGCUGGGGGAGCAAACGGGG